GCCGCGAGGUGUUGGCUUAAGUGCCGCAACGAGCGCAACCCCGAUCGUAUGUUGCCAGCGGGUCAUGCCGGGCACUCAUGCGAGACUGCCGGGGAAACCCCGGAGGAAGGACGGGACGACGUCAAGUCAGCAUGGCCCUUACGCCUGGGGCUGCAAACGCGCUACAAUGCGCGGUACAGCGGGUUGCAAGACCGCAAGGUGGAGCUAAUCCCGAAAAACCGCGCCCAGUUCGGAUCGGGGUCUGCAACUCGACCCCGUGAAGUUGGAGUCGCUAGUAAUGGCAGAUCAGCAUGCUGCCGUGAAUGCGUUCUCGGGCCUUGUACACACCGCCCGUCACACCCCGAAAGCGGGCAACAGAUGAAGCCGGUGGCCCAACCGUAAGGAGGGAGCCGUCGGGUCUGGGGUUCGUGAUUGGGGUGAAGUCGUAACAAGGUAGCCGUACCGGAAGGUGCGGCUGGAUCACCUCCUUUCUGGAGCACAGAGUCCAUGACUCUUUUUUGCAUGGACUCGACGGGUCGGCGGACCUAAUUAGUAGAACAACCCGCACUAGCAGUUCUGAGGGAAUAGUCGCCCCGACGGGACGCAGAAUUACGGCGUCUCGUCGCCUCUUUUUGGGCGACGAAGUUCCGGCUCCUUGACAACCACAUAGCGAGCGUAGGCAUCUUCACAAGGCCAAGCUACAAAGGGCCCACGGUGGAUGCCUCGGCGCCAGAAGGCGAUGAAGGACGCGGCUAGCUGCGAAAAGCCUCGGGGAGCUGCUGAGCGAGCGUUGAUCCGAGGAUGC
rnacentral:sRNA from 1 species